UACGUAGGCAGCAAGCGUUGUUCGGAGUUACUGGGCGUAAAGGGUGUGUAGGCGGUUAUUUAAGUUUGGUGUGAAAUCUCCCGGCUCAACCGGGAGGGUGCGCCGAAUACUGAAUGACUUGGAGUGCGGGAGAGGAAAGUGGAAUUCCUGGUGUAGCGGUGAAAUGCGUAGACAUCAGGAGGAACACCGGUGGUGUAGACGGCUUUCUGGACCGUAACUGACGCUGAGACACGAAAGCGUGGGUAGCAAACAGG
rnacentral:rRNA from 1 species